UACAGAGGGUGCGAGCGUUAAUCGGAAUUACUGGGCGUAAAGCGUGCGUAGACGGUUUCGUAAGUCGGGUGUGAAAGCCCCGGGCUCAACCUGGGAAUUGCAUUCGAGACUGCGUAGCUAGGGUGCGGAAGAGGGAAGCGGAAUUUCCGGUGUAGCGGUGAAAUGCGUAGAUAUCGGAAGGAACGCCGGUGGCGAAAGCGACGUGCUGGACCCUUUCUGACGCUGAGGCGCGAAAGCCAGGGGAGCAAACGGG
rnacentral:rRNA from 1 species